rnacentral:rRNA from 1 species
UGGGGAAUAUUGGACAAUGGGCGAAAGCCUGAUCCAGCCAUGCCGCGUGAGUGAAGAAGGCCUUAGGGUUGUAAAGCUCUUUCAGCGGGGAAGAUAAUGACGGUACCCGCAGAAGAAGCCCCGGCUAACUUCGUGCCAGCAGCCGCGGUAAUACGAAGGGGGCUAGCGUUGUUCGGAUUUACUGGGCGUAAAGCGCGCGUAGGCGGAUUGUUAAGUCAGAGGUGAAAUCCCGAGGCUCAACCUCGGAACUGCCUUUGAUACUGGCAAUCUGGAGUUCGGGAGAGGUGAGUGGAAUUCCGAGUGUAGAGGUGAAAUUCGUAGAUAUUCGGAGGAACACCAGAAGCGAAGGCGGCUCACUGGCCCGAUACUGACGCUGAGGCGCGAAAGCGUGGGGAGCAAACAGGAUUAGAUACCCCCGUAGUCC